rnacentral:misc_RNA from 1 species
AAGUCGUAACAAGGUUUCCGUAGGUGAACCUGCGGAAGGAUCAUUAGUGAAGCAUUGGUGCGGGAGCUUUCUUGGCUCCUGCCCAAACUCUCAUCUUCUCUACCACCAUUUGUGAACUUUUGUGCCGCAUACUGGAGGGGGAAUAGAAGGCAACUUUUAUUUUCUCAACAAGUCCUGUGCGCCAAAAACAUUUUUUUACAAGCAACAUUGUGACAUUUAUUGGAUGGUUUAUAUUAUAAAACAAACUAAAACUUUCAGUGACGGAUCUCUUGGCUCUC